rnacentral:rRNA from 1 species
CCCUUAGAUGUUCUGGGCCGCACGCGCGCUACACUGAUGCAUUCAACGAGUCUAAAACCUGGUCUGAUAGGGCUGGGUAAUCUUUUGAAAGUGCAUCGUGAUUGGGAUAGAUGAUUGCAAUUCUUCAUCUUCAACGAGGAAUGCCUAGUAAACGCAAGUCAUCAGCUUGCAUUGAUUACGUCCCUGCCCUUUGUACACACCGCCCGUCGCUCCUACCGAUUGAAUGAUCCGAUGAAUAUCAUGGGUUGAGAGUACGAAUGGGUUCGCUCAUUUCUGCUGCUCGAGAAGUGAAGUAAAUCUUAUCAUUUAGAGGAAGGAGAAGUCGUAACA